UGGUCUGCUAGAAUUUUUGCAGUAACUUAUGAUCUCUUCUUUCCAUGAAGUAAAAUUUCUUGCACACGCACAAGUAUAUACAUACAUUUGUUCAUUUGAGGAAGUUAUUAUUCUUGUCUCUGAGUUCAACAUAUGCCAAAUGUCCUAUUAUGUUUUCAAUUAACAUGGUACUUGAUUAAUGAGUUAAAUCUAUUAUGCUAGACCUUCAUUCAUUGUCUUAUUGUUAAUCUUGAUUCUGUUCUUGUACUGCAUCAACAUCCAUAAUGGUAUUUGUAGAAGCAUCAUUGUAUACUAUUUUCUUCUGUUUAUUUAAGGCCUGUUUAAGCUCAUAUGCAUGUUUUGUGGUGUAGACAAGCCCUUUGCGAGCAUAUUUAACUGACAUUUCAGAAAGGGUGCUAUAAUUAUGAAAUACUGCUACCAGAAAAAGAUUUUGAUAGUUUACUUAGACAUGUUACCUUUGUUUAUUAUGGUAAAAUCUUCAACACCAAAGAUACCUGUCCUUUUUUUAAGUUGUAAUUUUCCUAAUUAUAUUAGACAGUUGGAAGGAAACAUAGGUCACAUUUUACAGCUGCCAUACUGCUGUAAAACUGCUCAAAUAUGUGUCCUUCAAUAUUCUGAAUAACUUAAGAAAGUCAACUAUGGAUGCAUCUUCUGAUAUUCUUGCAGUUUGCUAGUUUCCAAUAACUUCCAUUGUUGCCUUCAAAACCUUGUUCUUCAGAGCGAUAAAAUGUUGACAAACUUAAUGCAGUCUUGUUCUUACGUUUCUGAUACCUAGGCAUAGUUACACUUACAUGAAUCCAUUUGUUCCAUUUCAUUAUAAAAGAGUCAGAUGUCAGAUACUGUUAUUUAUUUGAGUCCAUCUAGGUCUUUAGUCAUUUUACCCAAAUUAAAUAAUCACAGGUCUCUGUUUAUGGGUUCUGCUAGGUUAUUCUAGAGCAUGACAGGAUCAGUUUUCAGUUAACCUCCCCUGUAAAGUAUAUUUCUUCAUCAAAAUCUCCAUUGGAUUGGACCCUUGGUCUUCUUUGAAUUUCAGAAUUUUUAUAUCAGUAUCUAAGCAAAUAUCACCUAAAAUAGCAAUUAAAUGGGAUACUAAAAUAUUCCUAUCAUCCAUCUCCCCGUGAUAUGCUAUUGUCUGUUUAUCUGCUGUCCAGCCUAUCCUGGCUUUGAGAUUGUCCUCCAUCCGUUAGACCCUAUUUAUGCAUAUUUAUUAAAGUUCUGAUGCAGAUAGGUCAACUUGCAGUUUUAAUCAUUUAGGAAUGGUUGCGAGUCCAUUUGAAAAAUAGACAUGAGUAGAAACUUAAAGGGAUGACUGAGACUGACCUUGGGUGGCUGAAGUCUUCAAUUAUAUUCAGAAUUUUGACCUGGCUUCAGUGGAAAAAAAAAAAAAAAAAAGAGAGAGAGAAAAAUAUGAAAUUCUAAGCCUUACACUUUGAAUCCCUUUGGCAUUUUUCCUAGAAUUUAUAGGCAUUAUUACACAAUCCACGAAGUAACAAUAACUGGAAUCUUAUUCAAUGAAAACUUAUUGACAAAGCAUUAUGAGCAUAGAAUUUAGAUUCAAAAUGACCUGAACCUUAACGACAAGUAAACUCUUAAAGUUAGUUCAAUUCCUCUCGAGAUUUUGGACCACCAUAGACAAAAACGAUUAUAUUCUCUUAAACCAAUGAAAGCUCUUAGUAUUACUCAAAUAAACCCUAAGAGAUCCGGCCAACCUUUUCCAGAAAAAUUAAAAUUACAAGAUUAUCCCUGAGUCUUGAAAUAGAAGUACAAACUUUCUCACUAGCAACUACUUGAGUAAGACAAAAGUAAAUAUAGGACUAGCCCCAUAAGAAUUCUAGACCAUUAAUAUGUAUUCAAGUGUUAAACUUUGUCUUUCUUGAGCUGCUUCUCUG